GCCUAACACAUGCAAGUCGAGCGGCAGCACGGGAAGCUUGCUUCCUGGUGGCGAGCGGCGGACGGGUGAGUAAUGCAUAGGAAUCUGCCCGGUAGUGGGGGAUAACCUGGGGAAACCCAGGCUAAUACCGCAUACGUCCUACGGGAGAAAGCAGGGGCUCUUCGGACCUUGCGCUAUCGGAUGAGCCUAUGUCGGAUUAGCUGGUUGGUGAGGUAAUGGCUCACCAAGGCGACGAUCCGUAGCUGGUCUGAGAGGAUGAUCAGCCACAUCGGGACUGAGACACGGCCCGAACUCCUACGGGAGGCAGCAGUGGGGAAUAUUGGACAAUGGGCGCAAGCCUGAUCCAGCCAUGCCGCGUGUGUGAAGAAGGCCCUCGGGUUGUAAAGCACUUUCAGUGGGGAAGAAAGCCUUCCGGUUAAUACCCGGGAGGAAGGACAUCACCCACAGAAGAAGCACCGGCUAACUCCGUGCCAGCAGCCGCGGUAAUACGGAGGGUGCGAGCGUUAAUCGGAAUUACUGGGCGUAAAGCGCGCGUAGGUGGCUUGAUAAGCCGGUUGUGAAAGCCCCGGGCUCAACCUGGGAACGGCAUCCGGAACUGUCAGGCUAGAGUGCAGGAGAGGAAGGUAGAAUUCCCGGUGUAGCGGUGAAAUGCGUAGAGAUCGGGAGGAAUACCAGUGGCGAAGGCGGCCUUCUGGACUGACACUGACACUGAGUGCGAAAGCGUGGGUAGCAAACAGGAUUAGAUACCUGGUAGUCACGCCGUAAACGAUGUCGACUAGCCGUUGGGUCCUUCGCGGACUUUGUGGCGCAGUUAACGCGAUAAGUCGACCGCCUGGGGAGUACGGCCGCAAGGUUAAAACUCAAAUGAAUUGACGGGGGCCCGCACAAGCGGUGGAGCAUGUGGUUUAAUUCGAUGCAACGCGAAGAACCUUACCUACCCUUGACAUCCUGCGAACCCUUCGGAGACGAAGGGGUGCCUUCGGGAACGCAGAGACAGGUGCUGCAUGGCUGUCGUCAGCUCGUGUUGUGAAAUGUUGGGUUAAGUCCCGUAACGAGCGCAACCCUUGUCCCUAUUUGCCAGCGAUUCGGUCGGGAACUCUAGGGAGACUGCCGGUGACAAACCGGAGGAAGGUGGGGACGACGUCAAGUCAUCAUGGCCCUUACGGGUAGGGCUACACACGUGCUACAAUGGUCAGUACAAAGGGUUGCGAACUUGCGAGAGUGAGCCAAUCCCAGAAAGCUGAUCUCAGUCCGGAUCGGAGUCUGCAACUCGACUCCGUGAAGUCGGAAUCGCUAGUAAUCGUGAAUCAGAAUGUCACGGUGAAUACGUUCCCGGGCCUUGUACACACCGCCCGUCACACCAUGGGAGUGGACUGCACCAGAAGUGGUUAGCCUAACCUUCGGGAGGGCGAUCACCACGGUGUGGUUCAUGACUGGGGUGAAGUCGUAACAAGGUAGCCGUAGGGGAACCUGCGGCUGGAUCACCUCCUU
rnacentral:rRNA from 1 species